AUUGAACGCUGGCGGAAUGCUUUACACAUGCAAGUCGAACGGCAGCACGGACUUCGGUCUGGUGGCGAGUGGCGAACGGGUGAGUAAUGUAUCGGAACGUGCCCAGUCGUGGGGGAUAACGUAGUGAAAAUUACGCUAAUACCGCAUACGAUCUAUGGAUGAAAGCGGGGGAUCGCAAGACCUCGCGCGAUUGGAGCGGCCGAUAUCAGAUUAGGUAGUUGGUGGGGUAAAGGCCCACCAAGCCAACGAUCUGUAGCUGGUCUGAGAGGACGACCAGCCACACUGGAACUGAGACACGGUCCAGACUCCUACGGGAGGCAGCAGUGGGGAACUUUGGACAAUGGGCGAAAGCCUGAUCCAGCCAUUCCGCGUGCAGGAUGAAGGCCCUCGGGUUGUAAACUGCUUUUGUACAGAACGAAAAGGCUUCUACUAAUACUAGGAGCUCAUGACGGUACUGUAAGAAUAAGCACCGGCUAACUACGUGCCAGCAGCCGCAGUAA
rnacentral:rRNA from 1 species